UCAUUUGUAAAACAAAAUAGUAUAAGUGUCAUUUCAAGAUCGUGUUGGUGUCAGUGCCAUUUCGUGUUAGUAUUAGUGUCAUUUCAAAAAAAAAAAAAUGGAUCAGGAUAGUCUAACUGGGUUAGGAUCCGGGGCGGGUACAACCCGGGUGUACGAUACACCCGGGUGUACAGAAGACCACCUCAUAAUAUUCAAUUAAAAUUCUUAAUUAACCUAUCAGACCUUUUUCUCCUCCACCUAAUUUUUCAAUUGUUCGUUCCCAAUACUCGUCCCAUCCCUAUUCAUCUCUCUACUUCUCUCUCAUCCCUCG
rnacentral:lncRNA from 1 species